AUUCUGUUGCAUAGGCUGGAGGGCAGUGGGGUGAUCUCGGCUCACUGACACCUCCACCUCCCAGGUUCAAGUGAUUCUCCUAACUCAGCCUCCCAAGUAGCUGAGAUUACAGGUGCAAGCCACCACGCCCAGCUAAUUUUUGUAUUUUUAGUAGAGAUGGGGUUUUGCCAUGUUGGCCAGCCUGGUCUUGAACUCCUGACCUCAAGUAAUCCACUUGCCUCAGCCUCCCAAAGUGCUGGGUUUACAGGCAUGAGCCACCGCAUCUGACUGUUUUUCUUUUCUCUUGAGGCAAAGUCUUGCUCUGUUGCCCAGGCUGCUGGCAGUGGCAUGAUCACAGCUCACUGCAGCCUCAACCUCCUAGACUCGAGCAAUUUUCUCACUUCAGCCUCCUGAGUUGCUGGGACCACAGGUGCACGCACCACCCCCUGGCUUUUAUUUUUUUAUUUUUUUUAUUUUUUGGCAGAGACAGUGUCGCCUUAUGUUGCCCAGGCUGAACACCUGUGUCUCUUAACCUAAGAGCUGUCUCCAGCACAGGAUGCAAGACAGCCCCAAAAAAGUGUUAGGGACUUAAAGCCACCAGAAGCUUUUCUUAACCAAUGGAAUACAGGAGUCAAUGGAUAAAAGGGAGAGACACAACUGGCUCCAGCCCUUUUCCUGCCUCUUCCUGCUUUGAAUACUCACAUGAUACCUGGAGCUGCAGCAGCCAUCUUGUUUACCAAGAAGAAAAGCCAAGAUGAUCACAGAAUAGCCAGCACUGGUAUUGUUCCGCCAGCGACAGCAGAUACUUACCUCCAGAUUUUUGGGGAAAAAAAAUGAGCUGGAGUGACUCUCUUGGUCCCUAAGGUGGAAGCCAUGUGUUGAGGACACUGAGCAACAAGAUAGGAGGAGCCUGGGGCCCAGCCAGAGAACAGGAAGCCACCCAAAUAGCUCUCAACCCCUUAUAGAUGGACUACUAAAUGGGAAAUAAAGUAGACUGUUCUCUCUUGAUCUUUGUACAGAAUCUAUGUGCUAACUAAUAUAGUGCUCACUGGGAGGCUGAGACAGGAGGAUAGCUUGAGCCCAGCUUGAGCC
rnacentral:lncRNA from 1 species